CCGGUUGAUCCUGCCAGAGGCUACUGCUAUCGGGGUCCGACUAAGCCAUGCGAGUUGAGAGGGGUAAGCCCUCGGCAUAUUGCUCAGUAACACGCGGAUAACCUGCCCUUGGGUCCGGGAUAACCCCGGGAAACUGGGACUAAUACCGGAUAGAUCAAGGAUACUGGAAUGUUCUCUGGUCCAAAACUCCGGUGCCCAAGGAUGGGUCUGCGGCCUAUCAGGUAGUAGUGGGUGUAACGUACCUACUAGCCUACGACGGGUAAGGGUUGUGAGAGCAAGAGCCCUGAGAUGGAUUCUGAGACAUGAAUCCAGGCCCUACGGGGUGCAGCAGGCGCGAAAACUUUACACUGCGGGAAACCGCGAUAAGGGGACCCCGAGUGCCAGUACCUAGUGCUGGCUGUCCCGCUGUCCAAACAACAGUGGUUAGCAAGGGCCGGGCAAGACCGGUGCCAGCCGCCGCGGUAACACCGGCGGCCCGAGUGGUAGCCGUUAUUAUUGGGUUUAAAGGGUCCGUAGCCGGCUUAUUAAGUCUCUUGGGAAAUCUGGCGACUUAAUCGUCAGGCGUCCAAGAGAUACUGAUAGGCUUGGGACCGGGAGAGGUGGGAGGUACUCCAGGGGUAGGGGUGAAAUCUCGUAAUCCUUGGGGGACCACCGAUGGCGAAGGCAUCCCACCAGAACGGGUCCGACGGUGAGGGACGAAAGCUGGGGGCGCGAACCGGAUUAGAUACCCGGGUAGUCCCAGCUGUAAACGAUGCUCGCUAGGUGUCAGGUGCGGUGCGACCGCAUCUGGUGCCGUAGUGAAAACUUGAAGCGAGUCACCUGGGAACUACGGCCGCAAGGCUGAAACUUAAGGGAAUUGGCGGGGGAACACACAAGGGGUGGGCGUUGCGGUUCAAUUGGAUUCAACGCCGGG
rnacentral:rRNA from 1 species